GAUGAACGCUAGCGGCAGGCCUAACACAUGCAAGUCGAGGGGUAGAGGCUUUCGGGUCUUGAGACCGGCGCACGGGUGCGUAACGCGUAUGCAAUCUGCCUUGUACUGAGGGAUAGCCCAGAGAAAUUUGGAUUAACACCUCAUAGUAUUUUAGUGUGGCAUCACAUUUUUAUUAAAGGUUACGGUACAAGAUGAGCAUGCGUCCCAUUAGCUAGUUGGUAUGGUAACGGCAUACCAAGGCUACGAUGGGUAGGGGUCCUGAGAGGGAGAUCCCCCACACUGGUACUGAGACACGGGCCAGACUCCUACGGGAGGCAGCAGUGAGGAAUAUCGGUCAAUGGUCGCAAGACUGAACCAGCCAUGCCGCGUGCAGGAUGAAGCAUCUAUGGUGUGUAAACUGCUUUUGUACGGGAAGAAACACCGCUACGUGUAGCGGCUUGACGGUACCGUAAGAAUAAGGAUCGGCUAACUCCGUGCCAGCAGCCGCGGUAACAC
rnacentral:rRNA from 1 species